AAAAUAUUUGCUUUCAUUGGACUUCUCUCUUUUUUGAACUUGACCCAACUUCUCCUUUCUUUUUUCUCUCUCUCACCGUUUGCCCUUUCCCUUUUUCUUCUAAAAACCCUAUCUCAAUCUCAUUCUCAAUUUCGGAUCUUAUUCACGCCCUUUUUCUCCCUAUCUCUCUUGAUCUUUUUCAUUUUAUUCAGGUUUUGUUCCAGAAAGAAAUAAGGAAUGUCUUUUACACGGAAUUGUCGCAUGCAAGGAAGCGUUUUUCAGGAUGAUUACCGGUGCCCUUUCAAUAGGAAUAACUACAAUAAUUACAGUUCUGAUAACUACAGGAACGGCAACUGGAGUAGUGACCCUACCAGGAUAUUUAACCAUGCCCAAGAAUUCUUGGGGCAGUUUGGGGAGCAUAAUAGAGGUUAUCAUCAUGCACAACCAAAUUGUGCUCCUUCUUUGAAAAGGAGAAAGUUCUCUGCUGCUACUUGGGGAGAUAGUGGUAGAAACUAUCAGCCAUAUAGCCUGCAAUUCCCUACAGCUCCAUUGGAACCCAGCAAUUUCAUUCCUCCUCCUGUGAGAUCAACUGCUGAAGCCUCUACAUCUGUCAGUAAUAAACGUGAUAGAUCACAAUUGGAGGAUGAUGAAUCUGUCUUUAUGUCAAGGGAUGAUAUUGAGAGAUAUUCACCUUCAAGAAGAGAUGGUAUUGAUGCUCUUCGCGAGACACAUUUGCGUUAUUCUUAUUGUGCCUUCAUUCAGAACCUCGGGUUGCAGCUUGAGUUGCCACAAACUACCAUUGGCACUGCCAUGGUACUGUGCCAUCGGUUUUUUGUUCGAAGAUCACAUGCUUGCCAUGAUAGAUUUUUGAUUGCUACUGCUGCUCUUUUCCUUGCUGCAAAGUCGGAGGAGACGCCUCGCCCUUUGAACAAUGUGUUGAGAACUUCUUGUGAAAUAUUCCAUAAACAGGAUAUUACAUUCUUAUCCUACCUGCUCCCUGUUGAUUGGUUUGAGCAGUAUCGUGAACGUGUGAUUGAGGCAGAGCAAAUGAUCCUGACUACCUUAAAUUUUGAACUUAAUGUGCAACAUCCAUAUGCUCCACUUACAUCCAUUCUAAACAAACUAGGCCUUUCACAAACAGCCUUGGUGAACCUGGCAUUAAACUUGGUCAGUGAAGGGUACCUAUUUGGUUUAGUUAUUUCGUUGUGAUGUUUGAGUUAUUCCAGAGUAGUCUAAGAAUAAUGCUCAUUUAUUGGGAUUUGUUCUUGUGGCUAUGAUUGAGUAGCUGUUUUAUGCACUGGGAGUAGUGGGUGUUUCAAUCCCUUCAAUCAGCAGAUUUUAUGGGUUUUGACUUUAAAGGGAUUUUGGGUGGGGUGGGUGGCUGGGUGCAAUGCAGUCCUAUGAAUUGGUUGAAAAAAAGUUGAGUUGGGGUGUGAAGGGUAUGCAGGUUAUCUUCUUCCAUAUUGCCCAGAACUGGGUACUUCUGUCCAUAAUUUUCUUUAGCACAACUACUCUACGAAGUUAUUCUGGUAUGGCAUAUUGAUUCUUUUGGCAUGUCAUAUAAUUGCAGGGUCAUUUCAGGUUAGCGUGCACGCUUGUAUGAUAUUGUUAGCUGGCGGAUUGAUGUGCUGUUCAUGGAAACUUUUGUUUUAACAUCUGACGUUGAAUUAACAAUAAUUAUGGUUCUUUCCCAUGAUUCUACCCCAUCAACUUGGUCAUGGCUAUUAAAGCCACAUAACCUCAGAAUAUAGUCUUGUCAUUUUUGAUACCACUCACCUGGAGUCCAUACAAACUUUUUUAAAUCUGGCUGCCUCCCUGUGUCCAUCAGUAUUUGGAGAAAAAUUGUUGACUUGGAAGAGUCAAUAGUGGGUUCUUUCCUCGUUUUUUAAAUGCUAUCUGGUGAUGAUUUCCCUGGUUGUCAAGCCAUGGUUUGUUAUUAUUGUCCUGCAUUUCUCCCAUUCAAAAUGGAGAUUUUGGCAUGGAAUCAAAAACCGGACUGCUUUGGCAGGUACAUUUGAAGCAUGUGAGUGUUCACCAGUCAAAAACUGGAUUGACCGGUAUGGAAACGGAUUGAACCAGUAAAAAACGGUUUUUUAUUCAAUCCGUUUUCUAUGAACAUACAUAUAUUUUCAAAAUCUUAUUUGUAAUUAAUGGGCUUUGAACCUUUAAUCUCCUAGUUAUUCUAAAAAGGAACAAUACCUUUAAGCUGAAUGUUAUUCUAAAAAAGAAAACAAUAAUUAUUAACCAUGUUUAAUAUUUAUUUUAAAUUAGUUAUUUGAACAGUAAAAAACAAGAGUAAUCUCGCCUCCUAGUCCAACUUGUUGGACCUAAGACUGGAGAUUCGAUUGGUUUGACCUCCAGUUCUGUUUUUUAAAGAUUGGUUUUUUGGUUUAUCCAGAAAUCUUACCCUGUUUAACUAUUUUGUUUAAUACUUUAAGAUGAGAGGCUUCCAAUUUGAAUUUGCCAAUGGCAAUGUCAAUCUAAUGAAAGUUUUACAUUUUGAUUUAUAAGUACCAGCUGGACUCAGAAUCCUGUUGUGUCUGAGUUUCAUUCCUUUCAAACUUAAGAGUCUAUGUGCACAUGUUGGAGACUGAACUAACAUGCAUUAUCAAUCAUUGGGGAUGGGUUAGAUGCAAAAAGCGAAUUGUUCGUAGCCUGCUUCAGGUAGCAUGGCAUAAAGGAAACAAAUUCCAAAAAUACAUUGACAACACAUGUAUCUUCACCUUUUAUUCGUCUUUGUUGAAUAGAACAGUGAUUCUUGUCUAGGGUUUUGCCUUUCCUUCUGACCUGGCUCUAAACCUUGAAUUGAGUACAACCUUGUUGAAUUCUUGGUGUUGCUAAGCAUAGAGUUUGUUCGGCCUCUGGAAAGAAUCUUGUUUUUGCAGUACAUAAUUAGUGACUUCAACCCUCUUCUUUUUCUCCUUUUAAAAUAUUUCAGUGUAUUUUCUCCUCAAAUAUCUGUCUCUCAGCGGAAAUGAUUGUAUUGGUUUUUGUUUAAAGCUGGUUAAUUGGUGCUUCUAACUGACUUUUGAUGUUUCAUUUAGGUUUUUUCAUCCAUCUUAUGUGUAUUUCAUAAUUAUAUAACUACUCUAAGACACAUACAUAUAUUUAGGAUUAUAUUAUUUUCUAGAUCGAGAACACAAAGAUGAAAGAUGCCUCCUCCUUCAAGGAGGAUUCUGCAAACUAAAAGGGAACUUUUCUAAAUGUUGGUUUACAUCUUAAAUACCUUGGAGACAAUUGUGUAUGCUCAAUAAAUGUUAAUGGCCUUAUAGCUUAGAGCAUUUUGGUUAUGCUUUAUGUAUGGCAACUUUUAAACUAAAGCAGUCGACACUGUAAAGCAGUCAGUCAAAAUAAUGAUACCCCCUGUACUAGACUGAACUAGAAUAGGCUCAGCCAAAAACUCACUGCAGAUUUUACAGUCAAUUAGAGUAGAACUUAUGAAGCCUAUGUCAAUGGGUGUGCAGCACCAGGCAGCGUGAGUUCUUUAAUAUUUUCUGGGUCAGGCUUGUAUUGGGAAUAUUGGUAGGGUGUGGUCCUUGUUGGGACUUGUUCUUGUGAUUAUUUAAUGCACUCUGGUUCGUAUGGCAUGGUAUUCUACUGCCUAUUAUUUUAUGGAGGAAUACUUUCCCCAUAAUCAAGCAGAGUGCUUUGGUUGUGCUGGAAAGUUUUUUUAUCAUAGUCCCUAGUGGUUCUUCCACUUUCAUGCCAAGAUGGGGCGUUUUAAGGGGCUAAAUUUGAAGAACAAUAAAACUAUGGAAGUUAUAUAUAUACAUAUAUGAUGUGUGUGUGUACAGAGUUUUGUAUUUUUACCCAAUCGUGUACUAUUUAUUACUAUGUCUAUAGAUGGUGCCCCCAUUCUGUAUAGCUGGCCACAUUUUAUAUUUUUGCAAAAAGUUUAUUCUUUUUAAUCCAUUUGUCAUGGUCAUCCAUUUUUUUUUCUUUUUUUGGUUGAUUAACAAGGGGCAUCUGUAUAUACUAUUUUAUAGCCUACACUUAUAGUGUCAUGUUUUGCCUUCCUCAGUUGUCAUUCUGACAUUUCUUCAAAAUGUAUUCCUUGUAGUCCGUUAUCCUUCUCUUUUUGUCUAUUUUUUCUUGAGUUAUGGUUUACUAACGGACAUAUGUAUAUACUAAUUUACAAUGGUGCGUAUAAUAAUACAGAUAUAUUGUACCUUAUGCUACAUUUAUUAGGUGGUAAAAAUUGCUCAUAACAUCAUCUCGUGCCUGCUUUAGUUCCUUGUAAUUGGGGGGGUAGCAUGCAUGCAUGCUCCUUAACCACGAGCAGUCAAUCAUACUCGUUGAUGAGCCUGUUCGGAUAAUUGAUUGGCUAAAGAGACUUGCUUUGAUAUCUACAUUGCGCUCUAUGUCUGUUCCGUGUUUGAAUUGUGUAAUACUACUGGAGUUAGAAGCACUGCGGAUUGGACUGGAACUGAUUUGUUCUGUAGAUGGGUAUAAACAUAUUUGCUAUAGUUUUCAUACUCUGUCAGCCAUGGUGCAAGAGAUUCUUGGAAAAUAUUCUACCUGGUGUUGAUGCCAUUAGUUGGCUUAGGAGCUCAUUGUGGCUUCAAUUUAAGCCCCACCAUAUUGCUGCCGGAGCUGCUUAUCUCGCAGCCAAGUUUCUAAAUUUCGAUCUUGCUUCUUACCAUGAUAUCUGGCGAGAAUUUCAAACAACUCCAGCUAUUCUCCAAG